UGCAUCCAAAAAUUUCCAUUCUAAGUUAAAAAAUCUGAACUUUUAUUCAUUUAUUGUGGAUACUUUGCGUCAAAGUUUGAAUUUUUACCCAAAUGAUUGUUGGUCUGGAGUCGGAGAAUUCAAGAGAUGGGCAAUCUGAAUGCUUGGUCAAAGUUUGGAUUUUUAUCCAAUUUGAGGGGUUUUUGUGCUGGGGUUUGGAGCAUUCAAGGUCUGUUCAUUGUCUCUCUAAGAUCUAACAAUGUUUAUUUUUUCCUUGUCAGGCUUCUUCCGUUCAUCUCCAAUGCUUUCAAUGGCAUGCCUCUUGGUCAGAUGAAUUAGUAAAGUUUUGAUUUUGGUAUGUUUUUCAUUAGCCUUUGAAGAAAAGUAAAGAAAGGUUUUCAAGGUUCUGUAUUUCAUUGAUGUAGAGAGGUACAUAUAUACACAUAUGAUAGGCUUGCUUGUAGCCUUGAUUUACAAAUCAUAGGAGCAGAUUUACAAGAGUUAAUUUGCUGAUUUGCAGGGAAUGAUAUAGCUGUUAAAUUGCUUCAUUGGUGACCAUUAAUCUUGGUCAUUGAUUGGGUGAUUUGGUUGAAGAUAUGAUGUUGGAGUUCUCCUCUAAUCUAGGAGAGAUUUCCUCCUUUAUAGCCCCAAAGUUUAGAGCUUGGGUUGAUAAUAGUAUCUUACCUUCAAAUGGAGAUUCAAAGGCUGAUCUUGCACUGAUCCUUUCAGAGAUGGAAGAGGAAUUGCAGAGCUUGAUGUUCUCAGAAUCAUCGGUAAAAUUAAGAACAAGCAAGGUCAUUAUCAUGCGCCUUGUUUUGCUUUUUCAUUCUUUAAUGGUGAUGCCCUCUCGUUUGACUCUUCAGAGAGCAAGGCAUGCAUCUUAGUGCUGAUGCUUCUUCUGCCUAGCAUUUAAAUGUUACAGUGAUUCCCUUAAAGCUUGAGUGUUUGAAGUUGACCCUUGGAAGCUUUAGUUUUAAUCUUUGUACCUUUGGAUAGAAGGCUGCAAAUUUAAAGACAUUCAA